rnacentral:lncRNA from 1 species
CCCCUCUUUUCUUUUCUUUUUACUUUGUUUUGCUUAGUAGCUAAGUAGAACUAUGGAAACCAAGAAAGGUAAUGCAUCAAUGCAUGUAAAGAGAUCUUGCUAUCGAAGAAGCCGAUGCUUGUCUCUUUUCUUUCUUUUUCUUUUUUGUUUUGAUUUUGAUUUUGAUUUUUGUUUUUUUUACCUUUCUUUUAUCAUUUUCGAGUCUAUCAUAAUGAGAGAUGACAAAAAAAAAUAGACUUAAUAGGUUUCAAUCCAACCAAAUAUGGUUAAUAUUGGUUUUUUUUUUUUUAAAUCAAGAUUCGAGUUGAGUUAAGUUUUAUUCUUCAAUUAGCUAAG